UACAGAGGUCCCAAGCGUUGUUCGGAUUCAUUGGGCGUAAAGGGUGCGUAGGUGGCAUGGUAAGUCGGGUGUGAAAUCCCGGGGCUCAACCCCGGAACUGCACUCGAUACUGCCGUGCUCGAGUACUGGAGAGGAGACUGGAAUUCCCGGUGUAGCGGUGAAAUGUGUAGAGAUCAUGAGGAAGACCAGUGGCGAAGGCGGGUCUCUGGACAGUUCCUGACACUGAGACACGAAGGCCAGGGGAGCAAACGGG
rnacentral:rRNA from 1 species